AAUGACCACCAGACGCAGAAGUACCGUGAUGAUAAACCACUGCAUUCAAAUCAUAUUCCGGAUGUAUGGAACCACGAACAGAAGGGCUGAAAACGUUUUGUGGAAUACUCAAGCGAGCAGGAUAAGCAAUAGGCUUAUAAUUUUUCUGUGUACCGCCAGAUGCUUCGUAAAAGAAUCGUUUAAGGUGAAGAAUCAAGACAGGAGGAAGUGACUCUAU